CCGGCGGGCAGCUGAAAAGGGCUGCUAUUUUAAGGCACUGAUUGAAUCGCUGCAUUUCUCCCCUGGGAAUCAAAAAAUAGCUGACCUUCCCUGACUAUAGGGAGGCGUGGGAGGAGAGGGCUGCAGUGAGUAAUCCAUGGAAGUGGACAGAUGACCAGUGGCUGUGAAGUCACUGACACCACUGGCCCCCAACCCGCAGUGUCUGAACAAGAUACUGUGCGUCUGCAGUGACCAACAGAGCCCUUAAGACACUUGAGAUUCUCUCUGAAGAUGCAAAAAUCCCAGCUCUGAAGAACCGCAGAGAGAUCCAAGGUCUCUAAACCAGCAGAGUGGAAAGCUGUUGGACAAGAAAGGAAUCAUUUCAUCAGUAAUUCUGAAAGGAAAAUGACCACCUUCUCCUGAUUUCCAAAUCCACGUAGCCUGAGGAUAGAGAAGAGACCCCCAUAAAUGAACUCUGACUCAAAGCACAAUCUACAUGCAUCAAGACAUAAAUCUAUCUUUUAGACUGUUACAAAGUCAGCUGGUUCAAUAAAGAAAGGCACCGUUACCGUUUAGAUCUUAAAAUGUUCCCCCAAAGUUUUGUUUGCAGGUGGGUCCUGGUUGCAAGUUGCAGAUGAUGGGGGCUGUGACCUGGAAAUGUGUAUUCUUGCGCCUUGACCUUGUCCCUUGCUCCUCCUCCAUGCUGGUUUCUGCAUUGGAGCCACGUGACUAUGUGUAAAACCUGAGCCAAAAUAAACCUACCCACCGUUCA